AGAGCGAACGCUGGCGGCAGGCCUAACACAUGCAAGUCGAGCGCCCGUAGCAAUACGGGAGCGGCAGACGGGAUAGUAACACGUGGGAACGCGCCCUUCGGUUCGGAAUAACUCAGGGAAACUUGAGCUAAUACCGGAUACGCCCUUACGGGGAAAGAUUUAUUGCCGAAGGAACGGCCCGCGUCCGAUUAGCUAGUUGGUGAGGUAAUGGCUCACCAAGGCGACGAUCGGUAGCUGGUCUGAGAGGAUGACCAGCAUCACUGGGACUGAGACACGGCCCAGACUCCUACGGGAGGCAGCAGUGGGGAAUAUGGACAAUGGGCGCAAGCCUGAUCCAGCCAUGCCGCGUGGAUGAUGAAGGCCUUAGGGUGUAAAGUCCUUUAACGGGAAGAUAAUGACGGUACCGUAGAAUAAGCCCGGCUAACUUCGUGCCAGCAGCCGC
rnacentral:rRNA from 1 species